CCCUUAGAUGUUCUGGGCCGCACGCGCGCUACAAUGAUGAAUUCGACGAGUUUAUAACCUUGGUUGAAAAGCCUGGGUAAUCUUUUGAACUUUCGUCGUGAUGGGGCUAGACCCUUGCAAUUAUUGGUCUCCAACGAGGAAUUCCUAGUAAACGCAAGUCAUCAGCUUGCAUUGAUUACGUCCCUGCCCUUUGUACACACCGCCCGUCGCACCUACCGAUUGAAUGGUCCGGUGAAAUCUUCGGAUUGAGACUUUGAUUUCUUCACGGAAAACGCUGUUUUAAGAAGUUGAUUAAACCUUACCAUUUAGAGGAAGGUGAAGUCGUAACA
rnacentral:rRNA from 1 species